CUAUWMAUGCAAGUCGAGCGAACGGACGAGAAGCUUGCUUCUCUGAUGUUAGCGGCGGACGGGUGAGUAACACGUGGAUAACCUACCUAUAAGACUGGGAUAACUUCGGGAAACCGGAGCUAAUACCGGAUAAUAUUUUGAACCGCAUGGUUCAAAAGUGAAAGACGGUCUUGCUGUCACUUAUAGAUGGAUCCGCGCUGCAUUAGCURGUUGGUAAGGUAACGGCUUACCAAGGCAACGAUGCAUAGCCGACCUGAGAGGGUGAUCGGCCACACUGGAACUGAGACACGGUCCAGACUCCUACGGGAGGCAGCAGUAGGGAAUCUUCCGCAAUGGGCGAAAGCCUGACGGAGCAACGCCGCGUGAGUGAUGAAGGUCUUCGGAUCGUAAARCUCUGUUAUUAGGGAAGAACAUAUGUGUAAGUAACUGUGCACAUCUUGACGGUACCUAAUCAGAAAGCCACGGCUAACUACGUGCCAGCAGCCGCGGUAAUACGUAGGUGGCAAGCGUUAUCCGGAAUUAUUGGGCGUAAAGCGCGCGUAGGCGGUUUUUUAAGUCUGAUGUGAAAGCCCACGGCUCAACCGUGGAGGGUCAUUGGAAACUGGAAAACUUGAGUGCAGAAGAGGAAAGUGGAAUUCCAUGUGUAGCGGUGAAAUGCGCAGAGAUAUGGAGGAACACCAGUGGCGAAGGCGACUUUCUGGUCUGUAACUGACGCUGAUGUGCGAAAGCGUGGGGAUCAAACAGGAUUAGAUACCCUGGUAGUCCACGCCGUAAACGAUGAGUGCUAAGUGUUAGGGGGUUUCCGCCCCUUAGUGCUGCAGCUAACGCAUUAAGCACUCCGCCUGGGGAGUACGACCGC
rnacentral:rRNA from 1 species